rnacentral:rRNA from 1 species
GACGAACGCUGGCGGCGUGCUUAACACAUGCAAGUCGAACGGAAAGGCCCUGCUUUUGUGGGGUGCUCGAGUGGCGAAAGGGUGAGUAACACGUGAGUAACCUGCCCUUUAGUUUGGGAUAACUUCAGGAAACUGGGGCUAAUACCGGAUAGGAGCUCCUGCUGCAUGGUGGGGGUUGGAAAGUUGCGGUGGUUGGGCAUGGACAGGUGGCUUAUCGGCGUGUUGGUGGGGUAGUGGAUUACAAAGGCAUUGACGGGAAGCCGGCCUGAGAGGGUGACCGGCCACAUUGGGACUGAGAUACGGCCCAGACUCAUACGGGAGGAAGCAGUGGGGAAUAUUGCACAAUGGGCGGAAGCCUGAUGCAGCAACGCCGCGUGCGGGAUGACGGCCUUCGGGUUGUAAACCGCUUUCGCCUGUGACGAAGCGUGAGUGACGGUAAUGGGUAAAGAAGCACUGGCUAACUACGUG